AACGUAGGAGGCAAGCGUUAUCCGGAGUUACUGGGCGUAAAGCGCAUGUAGGCGGUUGGGCAAGUGGCGUGUGAAAGCUCCCGGCUAAACUGGGAGAGGACACGUCAGACUGUCCGGCUAGAGGCAGAUAGAGGGGCGCAGAAUUCGGGGUGUAGCGGUGAAAUGUGUAGAGAUGUGGAGGAACACCGAUGGCGAAGGCAGCCUCCUGGGCCAGCACUGACGCUCAUGCACGAAAGCGUGGGGAGCAAACAGG
rnacentral:rRNA from 1 species